AAGUUAUAUUGGAUGAUAUGUGGUUUUGAAAACUAUUAUGAAGUGUUCGAUUCACUUGUAACUUU
rnacentral:tRNA from 1 species